UGUGUAGGCGGUUUGGUAAGUCUGGUGUGAAAUCUCCCGGCUCAACUGGGAGGGUGCGCCGGAAACUGCCGGACUCGAGUGCGGGAGAGGAGAGUGGAAUUCCUGGUGUAGCGGUGAAAUGCGUAGAUAUCAGGAGGAACACCGGCGGUGUAGACGGCUCUCUGGACCGUAACUGACGCUGAAACACGAAAGCGUGGGUAGCAAACAGGAUUAGAUACCCUGGUAGUCCACGCCUUAAACGAUGCAUAUUUGGUGUGGGUCAUUCAGUUGAUCCGUGCCGGAGCUAACGCGUUAAAUAUGCCGCCUGGGGAGUACAGUCGCAAGGCUGAA
rnacentral:rRNA from 1 species